UUACAUUUAGGUCUUUGAUCCAUUUUGAGUUAAUAUUUAUGUGUGGUGUAAAGUAAGGUCCUGAAUGUAUUCUUUUGUAGGAAAUCCAGUUGUCCCAGCACCAUCUGUUGGAGAGACUGUUCUUUCCAAGGGCCUUGGAACCCUUGUUGAAAAUCAGUAGGCCAUAAGUAGAUGGCUUCAUUUCUGGACUUCCAUUUCUUUUCCAUUGACCUAUCUGUCUAUCCUUAGGCCAGUGCCAUACAUUUUGAUUAUUGUAGCUUUGUAGUAAGUUUUGAAAUGGGGAAAUGACUUUGUUGUUCCAACUUUGUUGUGCUGGAUUGUUCUGGCUAUUCUGGAUCCCUUGAAAUUCCAUAUGCAUUUUAGGAUCAGCUUGUCAAUUUCUGCCAACAAGCCAAUGGGAUUUUGGUAGGGAUUGCUGUGACUCUGUAGAUCACUUGGGGAGAAUUGCCAUGUGAACAAUAUUAAGUCUUCCAAGUCCGUGAACACUGGAUGUCUUCCAUUUAUUUAGGAACAUACACAUUUUGAGCUAGCUAAAAUAAUAAACUUGGUCAGUGCAAUUCUGAAGCCAUGAAGUAUCCUGUUAAACAAGCCUUGUUUCAGUAUGCCCAAAAAACUUCCUAAAAUGUUUAAUCAUUUUAACCCACCUUUUAAAAUGCAGGUUCAAGUACAGAUGAACCCUUCUUGGAGGAGCUUUAAAAGCGUUGGCUAUUCGUGCAUUCAGUAGCUGUGUGAGUCCCUGCAACAUGCUAGUACUGUCCCAGGCAUCAGGGCACAGCAGAGAGCAAAACCAGCAAGACCCUGCCCACGUGGGGGCCAGGGGAAAGCCGGAUGAUAAAAUAUACAGGAUGCAUAUCUGGAGAUUGGUCUCAGACUAAGCAACUUCUGCAAGAUGAGAGCCAGCAAGUGCAGAGAGGGCUCAAACCCCGGCUGCCUGGCUGCCAAGCCCAUGCUCUUGAGCUUUUUUCAUGUCACUAUCUGUGUGUCUCACAUAAAGGGACAGGAAUACACCUUUUUGAUGUCAGGGGCACCGUCUUCACUAUCCAGAUGAAGCAGGUCACAUGAUCCCAGCUCCCAGUGCGGCACCUGAGGCUCCGGACUGGCAGAACCAGAGCACUCGGGGAGGAUGCGUCCUGAGCUCCACACAGCCAUUCUGAACCCACUUUGCUACGACACCGAGGAUUGGAAAGUGUGGCUCUGGAGAUCUCAAGAAACCUGCUCUGCGCAGGAGGAGAUAACAUUUAGUCUUAUUUGAGUGUGCCAGUUCUGUUUUUCUGGGUGUGAAUUUUAAAGAAUAUUGAGUUCUACCAGUAGAACUUUUGGGACUGAAGCCUGUUUGGGAUUUGUAAUGAGACCUUUUCCCCAAGAUAUUCUUGCUGCUUUUCUGGCUCUGACUUUAACAAGUUGGUUUCCAUAUAAUAGGCUUUUGGUUUGUUUGUUAAAUAUAUCUUUUGUAUGUGGGUUAAAAUACAUUUAAACAGCAGAAAAGAAGGUGUGUCCAGACAGCGAGUCAUUUAGUAUCUUAAUGAUACUCUCACUUUUAUGAGAUCUUCUGGUUUGCGGUUAUAAGUUCUUAAGUAUUUUCGUAUUCUCUGCAUCACGUAUGUGUCAGUGUUUAGUCCUGAAGGGCACGUUUGCCCCACAUGUUCAUUUCCUUUAAUGUGGUUCACUAUCGAACUCUGCUGCCUUGACCUCCUCCCGCCCUUGUCCGUCAUUCCAGCCUCUUGGCUCAUAGCCCCCAAAAUAGAAUGAUUCCCUUUAGUGAGCCCCUGUUACAAGCUUGUCACUCAUUCUUUCUCAAACCUAUAAUCCUCCGCAGUUGGUGCUGUUCAACCCCUUUUACUGGUGAGGACACUGAGGGAAGCUCAGGCUUGCUUGAGGCUUCCUCGUUCAGCGUACACUGUUCAGCUCAGCCGGCACGGCUGCAGAGCCCACGUACAGGUACAUGGCUGGGAGCGCGGGCUCAGGACCUGCACUGCAGUGGGAAAAGGGUAAGAUGUAAGGCUGGAAACAUGGAAGGCAUUACCGCUAGCCAUCUAAAGUUUCUGUGUGGGAAGACAGGGAAGAUUGUUAUUAGUGGUGAGAGGGAGUGGUUUCUACAAUAGAUGUUGUAAUAAACUCACAAGGGGAAAAAUAAAGAGCAAUAUUUGGACAUGUG